GGGCACUUGGUAAAAUUUAGGCAGGAUCCAUUUCUUCCCUUUUGGAGGCAAAAAGAUACAGGCUCCUACUUAUCUGCUAAGCUCAAUAUAUAAGAUAUAUGCGCGUAUAUAUUUUAGUGGCGACAUUUCCACAUCGACCACUGCCCCAAAGCACCGGCGCCGGCGCCGGAUAAUCGAGGGCUGGCACCCAAUCUCCACAUGCACAUCCUGGGCGGCGCAAAAGUUUGAGGUACACAAGGGGGAUCAGUAACAGGAAGUUACCGCCAUCUACAGAUCUCCUCUCACUGCUCAAAGCCGGAGCCAAGGGUUUCUGCUCAAAAAACAGACACUGGCAAAACGGCCAUCAGCCGCUGCGACGCCUUUCGCUCCGGGCGACGCACGCGCUUGAGGGACCUGUGCCAAGCCAGGGGCUCGCUCACCACCUCUCCGCCAGCUGGGCCCGAGGGUCCCCGGCCAGGGCGGCUGGCCGGGAGUCAAGGACGGGCACCGAGCAACUCCCUCAGCCCAUCGCUUCCAGCGCGGACACUCUGGAGGCAAAGGCAGGCGCGCGAUGCCACCCGUUUUCGUUUUCCUUGCCAUUAAGCACUUUCCCCGGGCAGGCUUCGCGCGGAGUUAGGCUAGUCCUUCGUCUCCUGCAAGAGGCAUCUGCACUGGGGAAUGCGCUGCCUGCAAUCCUGACACCUUCCCCAUCGCACCUCUGCCCGCCCAGGCUGCCCUGUCCCUCUGGACGGCAGGGGCAAGUAAGCUGAGAGGCUGUGACCCACGAGAGCCCCAGGCUGUGCGUGGAGACCUAACCCUGGACUCUUCCAGGAGAUUUUCCUUCUCACAACUCAAGGACUGCCUCCUCCAGGAAGGAAAGUUUGGGUGCUAUACCAAACCAUAUAUAGCCACCUCUGCAGACUGUCAGAGACCCCAGAGGAAGGGCAGCAUGGGGAGAAGGUGCAUUGCACCUUAGGAUACAGGUCCUGGGAAGGACGUGCGCCCUCCCUCACAUCCCCAGCCCUGGGCUUUCCUCCUCCUGGGGUCCUGUGGAGAAGUGCAGGGAGGCAACUCAUGCAAGGGGCUACCCUGGCUUCUGGUGGCCCCAGGGUUGUCUGCUGUUAUCUGCCCUCCGGCCCUAGCAGCAAAACGAAACUCCUUUUGGUUGGGUAUCUUGUCCUCCCCAAGGCCCCCUGAACAACACAUACACUUGACCACAAGCCAGGUAGCUGCAUCUCAGCCUUUCCAGGAUCCAAACCCUCUCCAGACUCGGUGUUUCCCUUUGGAUUGGGGAAUGUGGUUACUGUACUGCCAGACUUGGGUGUUUUGGAGGUUCUAGGAGCUAGCUUCAGUAAUAGCAGUGAUUAAUCAGACUAUAAAUAUACAGCCUCAUCCCUCCCAGAAAACCCAGUCGAGUGGGCAGCUGGCCACUGUCCUUUGCGUGGAUUCUCUCUCUCGGGCACCUGUGCAGGUCUUUCUGGGUGGGAAGAGUUGUGCAUUUCCAGUCCUUUCCCUGCUACCAACAAAUAGUAUUCAUCCCUCCAACUCUGUUUCCUAGCAGCUUGUACUGAUAAACGUCUGCCCACACAAGAAGCCAGAAAGUCUACUAAUAAUAAUAAUUUGUAACUUAAGUGUGUAGGGAUAAGAGCUGCAAGACUUUGGAGAGAAAAAUCUUAACUACACUUCCUUCUUUCCAGAAAGUUGCCUAUUGUAAUACUCACAUUCAUAUCACGUACAUGUUCUCCUUAUAUUUGGUGGGGCUGUUGGGAGACCUUUAGGAGAUUUUGUUAAAUUAUGAUGGCAGAAUUGACUUAGACUGCACAUGAAGACUUUACGCAUGAUGCUUACAGGACUCCUUUUUUUAACUCUCAUUCCCUCAUUAGUUUAUUCAGCAGAUAUUUAUUUGUGCCUGUGAGGGACCAGAUGCGUAGGGACAAAGGAUUCUAGAACCUUUGACAGAGUUCCCAGUGUCUUUGAAAAGCAGGACUACACAAAUAAAAACAGAAACACCAACGCUCCUUGCCUCCUCCCUUCUCCCUUUCAGUUUAAGUGGUGUAAUGGGUAGACAAAGGUCUUAGGAAGAAUAUGAUAUAAACAGUAAGGUGAUGUUGGGCUUCUCAGAGGUUGGUUGGAAUUUUGUUUUUUGGGGGAGUGCUUAUUUUUAUGGGGGGCCCUGGGAAUGUUUUUUGUGUAAUACAAAAUAUAUGUGAACUAGUAUAAUGGCAUUGUUAUUCUAUUAGGUUUUAGAAUCAAGGAGACCUAGUAUGCCUUUUAAAAUUCCACAGCAGUUUCUAUCUCAAUGGGGUGGGAGACAGAGAGAAGCAAUAACUCCAAAACAGCAUGGAGUAAAGUGAAGAAUGCCCUUUAGUACCCAGCCAGGAGGAUGAAAUAGAUACUCAAGUCCCUAAAACGACCUCAAGGAGUCCUCAAGUUUAUUUCUGCACUUUUGGGUAGGAAGGUUGUCAUGCAAGAAUAAGGCAUGGGGAGCAAGGGGUUCGCCCAUAUAUUUAUUCUGUCCAUUUAUUUGUGACAAGAUACGCACCUCUGACUGGGCCAGAGGGAAUGCAGAAGUGAGCAUUAAGGAGAAUCUGUUUUCCCUGCGACGCUAGAGGGCAGCCCUCCAUCCGCAAAGCGGCAGACAGGACUGGCUCUGGUGUGUCCCUGAGUGUGUGGUUCUGCUAGCAUCACCUUGGACUUCUUAACAGUUUUUGAACAAGAGUUCCUGCGUUCUCACUUUGCCCGGCCCUGCAAAUUAAAAAGCCAGCAUGCUACACUGACACACCCCCAUAAACCACCACCUGCAGAGCCUGUGGUCUUGGGAUGCCAGCCUGCAGACGGGGCUUCCUCUGCCACCUAGACCCUCCCAGGAUGAUCCCCUUUCAUGGACUUCUCAUGCACUGGACACACCACAUUGACUAUAAAUCUAGAUGAUCACACUCUAGGGCAGGUUUAUGCAUCAGUGGGUUUUGCUAUUAAAAAUAACCCCUCUCCUAGUUCCCAUUUCAAAGCCAGCUAGAUUAGCUUGGUCAAUAAGGAUGCUGUCAUGUUCCUCCCAACGUCCACGGGGCCCUGAUUGAUUAAAUAAAGGUGGGCCACCAAACCACACCAAGGACAGAGUCGAACAUGUGCCAGCCAACUGGGCAUGUCAGAGUGCUUAGCCCUGAGAGUCGCUCUGUGUAUUCAUUUUUCUCUCUGGCAAACGUAUUACUAAAAUUUAUAUAAUAAAGUAUGAACACUAUGUCAACAGAUUCAUUAUCACCAUGAAAUAUGUUUUGUGUGCUCAGAUAACAUUUACAUUUUUAUUGAACCAAAGUCUAAGAACACAGAAUCCACCCAACCAAAGCUAGCUGUGGCUCCUAAAAGUCAAGUUAACUCUUUCAGCUCAUUCACAAGCCCUUUCCCAGCU
ensembl:lincRNA